CGAAGGGUGCAAGCGUUACUCGGAAUCACUGGGCGUAAAGCGUGCGUAGGCGGUUCGUUAAGUCUGCUGUGAAAGCCCUGGGCUCAACCUGGGAACUGCAGUGGAUACUGGCGGACUAGAGUGUGAUAGAGGAUGGUGGAAUUCCCGGUGUAGCGGUGAAAUGCGUAGAGAUCGGGAGGAACACCAGUGGCGAAGGCGGCCAUCUGGAUCAACACUGACGCUGAGGCACGAAAGCGUGGGGAGCAAACAGGAUU
rnacentral:rRNA from 1 species